rfam:Firmicutes bacterium CAG:129 genomic scaffold, scf109
AUUACCCUGCGUGGUUCGUGAUAGGCUCUUUAUAAACCCACAUUUCGUCAUACGGGACGCCGGUACGCUCCGGUGGUUUGCAGGCCUCCCGGCCGCCUUUUGCGGCCGGACGUUGGAAGCAGUAAAACCGGACAGAGGCGACCCACCUGCAAUUCAUGUGCAGGUUUGGCGGGGUCUACACGGCCAACGCGGGGUAACU